rnacentral:pre_miRNA from 14 species
GGCUAAGUUCUUAUCUUGUUUCUGAUCUUAGGAGGUAGUAUUUCUUGUGCAGUCUCAAUUUUCUUAGCGUUUUGAAAAUGUCUUAUCUUUGAAGGCUU